GUCCAAAUGACGAGUCCCAAAUAGGACGAAAUGCGGGUCCCAGAU
rnacentral:hammerhead_ribozyme from 1 species